rnacentral:lncRNA from 1 species
AUGACUCAUGAUAUUCCCUUUCACCUGGAUUGUGCCCUAUUUUUAUCCAUAAUUGGGGGGGGCGCAGUGCAAAGCGGGUCUUCCCAGGUGGUGCUAGUGGUAAAGAACCCGCCUGCCAGUGCAGGAAACAUGAGACACAUGGGUUCAAUCCCUGGGUUGAGAAGAUCCCUGGAGAGGGCAUGGCACCCACUCCAGUAUUCUUGCCUGGAGAAUCCCAUGGACAGAGGAGCCUGGCAGGCUACAGUCCAUGGGGUCACAAAGAGUCAGACACAACUGAAGCAACUGGAACAACCACAGAGUGGUCUCUUGGAAGGACUAAGCCCUCUGCACUUUCUAAAGAAUGUUUUCCUGGGACCUGUGGUAUCUGCAGGCUUCACUUGAUCCAAGUGAUAAAGAUCCUGUGGUCUUAAUUCCAUCUAAUCUCAUCUGCUUUGGGAUUUUGAUCAAGGAACUACUUUCUAUCUCAGAACUUAAUCCUUUACCAUCAAUCCUUUAUCUCUGCCUAUAGAUAUGAACCAAUUAUCCUCUCCCACUAAACUACUCCUAUCCUCAACUACACAAACCACCUUGACCUCAGCUGACCUCUCCCUUCACUGUCCACCCUCACUUGCAAGGCUGUGGCUUCCAGGAAAGUCAUUUCUCAGGCAGCAGCAGUGAUUCCGAGUUGCCAGAUGCAAUGGCAUUUUAUCAGGAUUCAUGCCCUUUGAGCUCUUGAAAGCAGCCCAUUGUGCUAAUCACCUUUGCUUUUGAGUUUCAAGUCAUAUCUACUAAAUAUUAACUUUAUAAAACCCUACAUUCUAUCAGAGACAUGUAGAAUAAAACCUGUAUUUCAUUCUUUAUACAAAGAAUUAUGUGAGUCCAAAACCAGGUAAAUGCUAAUAAAAUGUGUAAGUUCCUUGGCCUGCCGCUGAAGAUCUCACGUCAUCAAGCAGGAUGAUCAGUUUCCAGUGCUGCCAUCUACCUGUCGCCCUGUGCUCUGCAACAGCCACCUCCGUCCAUACUGCUACUCCUGCCCUCAUCCCGGGCACUAACUGUGAUCCCGCCUAAACAACGGAGCCUGUUCCAGCAUCCCUCUCAUGCGACUGACUCCCUCAUUGCCCCAGCCUCAGACGAUCAUCACAUCCUCUGAAUUACUGUAUUUCAUGUGAAGUGAAAGUGUUAGUCACUCAGUCGCGUCCGACUCUUUGUGACCCCAUAGACUUGUAGCCCACUAGGCUCCUCUGUCCACAAGAUUCUCCAGGCAAGAAUACUGGAAAGGUUUGUCGGUCCCUUCUCCAGGGGCUCUUCCCCACCCAGGGAUGAAACCCAGGCCACCUGCAGGGCAGGCAGACUCUUUACCGUCUGAGCCACCAGGGAAGCCGACAUUCAUCCAAUAAUGCUUCAUGCCAUAGUUCUUCAGUUCAGUUCAGUCAGUUCAGUCGCUCAGUCACGUCUGACUCUGUGACCCCAUGGACUGCAGCACAUCAGGCCUCCCUGUCCAUGACCAACUCCUGGGGCUUACUCAAACUCAUGUCCAUCGAGUCAGUGAUGCCAUCCAACCAUCUCAUUUACAUGGCCCUGCCCAUUAGAACAAGACCCAGUUUUCCCUCAGUCUCUCCCAUCAGGAAGCUUCCAUAAGCUUCUUAUCCUUAUCCAUCAGAGGGUAGACAGAAUGAAAACCACAAUCACAGAAAAUUAAACUGAUCACAUGGACCACACCCUUGUCUAAGUCAAUGAAACUAUGAGCCAUGCCGUGUAGGGCCACCCAAGAUGGACAGGUCAUGGUGGAGAGUUCUGACAAAAUGUGGUCCACUGGAGCAGGCAACAGGAAACCACUUCAGUAUUCUUGCCUUGAGAACCCCGCACAGUAUGCCACAGUUCUUCACUGGAGAUACACACAGACCAAGGAUAGGUGCCCUCUUUCUAGUUUGGAGACAGGCAGAAGUUUGCAGUGACGGCUUCUCCCUGUCCCCAACUUCCAGGGCAGUCCACCCCUCAACCCCGACAGACUCUGGCAUGGCCACAAGACUUGUUCUGGCCAAUGGGCCAUCAGCGGAUGUGAUAUAAGCAGAGGUUUCAUCACACUUAGAUACCAGCGAUGGUUCUCUCUGUGGCUCUACAGAGCCCGAGACCUCUACAUGGGUAGCUUACUGGAGGGUGAAAAACUAUGUGGGACAGAAACAAGUUUGCCCAACUGAGCACCCUGCCCCCAGACCAGGCAGACCCCAGCCAAACCACCAGCCUGCAGCCAUCCGUCAGGCCGACACAGACCAGAGCUGCCCAGCUGACCACAGAAUCAGGAGACUAAUCAAUGCCUCUGGUUUGCAGCCAUUAAGGCUUCUAAGAUUGUAAGAGAGGAUCGAUUAAUAUACAGAGUAUCUGGCACAUUGUAUUGUUCUGAAUUGAGUGAAGAAUUGAGGAAAAAUUUAACCUCUCUCUGAUCAUCCAAUUCUCUCUCUGUAAAUUAUAGUUUUCCCAGCAUAUAAAUUAAAAUACCCUAUGUUCUGCAAUUUUUUUUUUGUUUGUUUUGUAGAAUGAAAAGCUAGAGGGCAGCAUACUGUAAAAGACACAGUAGGUAUUAUACCUACAUAGCUGUGGAUUUGAAAUCAAGAUGCAACAUUUAUUGUCUUUGGUAAAUCCUGUAAGAUUUCUGUGUCUCAGUUUCUUUUUUUGAAGUGGAAAAAUACCACCAAUUUCGCCAUAUGAGAGAUAAGAUUUUUUUAAUUUAAAAGGAGGUAAGAUAUAUAUUAAAUAACAAAUGCAGGAUCUGGCACUGUUCUUCAAUAACCAAGAGAUAUUAUCAUCAUGUACAUAAAUAUUGCUAAAUAUUAAUCUGAAAAUAAGGAGGUUGAAAGAUUUCUCUCUCAAACUGAGUUUCCAUACCACUAUCCUCACUACUGCAAGUGAAGAAUUUGUCAGUGUCCGACACACAGCAGAGUGAGGAAAGGUCUGAAUUGAGAUGAAGAUAACUCUGAAGGCUUUAACAAUCUCUGGAUAUCUUGACUUUUGUUUAUAUCAUCCCUUGGCAUCUCCAAAGUGGAAAAUUUUCCAUCCAGAACAGAGGAGCAAGUUAAUCAUAAACUUUAAUUGUACAGGAGCUGAUCAGUGGGUAUUCUGAGGGGGUUAUGGGAAUAAUAAGUCAUUAGAAAAUGGAACCAAAGUUAUUUAGGAAGAUGCAAGUUAUUUAGAAGUUUUGAAUAAUUUACAGCUAGCUAGAUAAUUUAGAGAAUCCAGAGACAACUAAUUCAGUAAACUUACUUAGCACAGAUAGAUGCUUUGUCAUCCUCUAUCAAAAAUUAUCAUGGUUUUCAAAAAUAGAGCAUCUGGGAAGCUUCCUGAAUAAUAAACCAAAUUUGAAUUUAUUUAUUUUGAAUUCCUUUGUGUCCAACCAAUUGAGCCAGUUUAAAAUAAAGGUUCAUCACAUCCUCUGAAUUACUGUAUUUCAUGUGAAGUGAAAGUGUUAGUCA